GGAAUAUUGGUCAAUGGCCGGAAGGCUGAACCAGCCAUGCCGCGUGCAGGAAUGAGGCCCUAUGGGUCGUAAACUGCUUUUGUGGCGGAGCAAUAAGGUGUACGUGUACACCGAUGAGAGUACGUCACGAAUAAGCAUCGGCUAACUCCGUGCCAGCAGCCGCGGUAAUACGGAGGAUGCGAGCGUUAUCCGGAUUUAUUGGGUUUAAAGGGUGCGUAGGCGGGUUGCCAAGUCAGGGGUGAAAUCCCGGAGCCUAACUCCGGAACUGCCUUUGAUACUGGCAGUCUUGAAUUCGGAUGCCGUGGGAGGAAUGAGUAGUGUAGCGGUGAAAUGCAUAGAUAUUACUCAGAACACCGAUUGCGAAGGCAUCUCACGAAUCCGACAUUGACGCUGAGGCACGAAAGCGUGGGGAUCAAACA
rnacentral:rRNA from 1 species